GAUGAACGCUGGCGGCGUGCCUAAUACAUGCAAGUCGAGCGAACGGACGAGAAGCUUGCUUCUCUGAUGUUAGCGGCGGACGGGUGAGUAACACGUGGAUAACCUACCUAUAAGACUGGGAUAACUUCGGGAAACCGGAGCUAAUACCGGAUAAUAUUUUGAACCGCAUGGUUCAAAAGUGAAAGACGGUCUUGCUGUCACUUAUAGAUGGAUCCGCGCUGCAUUAGCUAGUUGGUAAGGUAACGGCUUACCAAGGCAACGAUGCAUAGCCGACCUGAGAGGGUGAUCGGCCACACUGGAACUGAGACACGGUCCAGACUCCUACGGGAGGCAGCAGUAGGGAAUCUUCCGCAAUGGGCGAAAGCCUGACGGAGCAACGCCGCGUGAGUGAUGAAGGUCUUCGGAUCGUAAAACUCUGUUAUUAGGGAAGAACAUAUGUGUAAGUAACUGUGCACAUCUUGACGGUACCUAAUCAGAAAGCCACGGCUAACUGCGUGCCAGCAGCCGCGGUAAUACGUAGGUGGCAAGCGUUAUCCGGAAUUAUUGGGCGUAAAGCGCGCGUAGGCGGUUUUUUAAGUCUGAUGUGAAAGCCCACGGCUCAACCGUGGAGGGUCAUUGGAAACUGGAAAACUUGAGUGCAGAAGAGGAAAGUGGAAUUCCAUGUGUAGCGGUGAAAUGCGCAGAGAUAUGGAGGAACACCAGUGGCGAAGGCGACUUUCUGGUCUGUAACUGACGCUGAUGUGCGAAAGCGUGGGGAUCAAACAGGAUUAGAUACCCUGGUAGUCCACGCCGUAAACGAUGAGUGCUAAGUGUUAGGGGGUUUCCGCCCCUUAGUGCUGCAGCUAACGCAUUAAGCACUCCGCCUGGGGAGUACGACCGCAAGGUUGAAACUCAAAGGAAUUGACGGGGACCCGCACAAGCGGUGGAGCAUGUGGUUUAAUUCGAAGCAACGCGAAGAACCUUACCAAAUCUUGACAUCCUUUGACAACUCUAGAGAUAGAGCUUUCCCCUUCGGGGGACAAAGUGACAGGUGGUGCAUGGUUGUCGUCAGCUCGUGUCGUGAGAUGUUGGGUUAAGUCCCGCAACGAGCGCAACCCUUAAGCUUAGUUGCCAUCAUUAAGUUGGGCACUCUAAGUUGACUGCCGGUGACAAACCGGAGGAAGGUGGGGAUGACGUCAAAUCAUCAUGCCCCUUAUGAUUUGGGCUACACACGUGCUACAAUGGACAAUACAAAGGGCAGCGAAACCGCGAGGUCAAGCAAAUCCCAUAAAGUUGUUCUCAGUUCGGAUUGUAGUCUGCAACUCGACUACAUGAAGCUGGAAUCGCUAGUAAUCGUAGAUCAGCAUGCUACGGUGAAUACGUUCCCGGGUCU
rnacentral:rRNA from 1 species